CCGCGGGAUUAGAGUUUGAUCCUGGCUCAGAUUGAACGCCCGUGGCAUGCCUUACACAUGCAAGUCGAACGGCAGCACGGGACCUAUCCUGGUGGCGAGUGGCGAACGGGUGAGUAAAGCAUCGGAACGUGCCCAGUAGUGGGGGAUAGCCCGGCGAAAGCCGGAUUAAUACCGCAUACGACCUAUGGGUGAAAGCGGGGGAUCGCAAGACCUCGCGCUAUUGGAGCGGCCGAUGUCAGAUUAGGUAGUUGGUGGGGUAAAGGCCUACCAAGCCGACGAUCUGUAGCUGGUCUGAGAGGACGACCAGCCACACUGGGACUGAGACACGGCCCAGACUCCUACGGGAGGCAGCAGUGGGGAAUUUUGGACAAUGGGCGCAAGCCUGAUCCAGCCAUGCCGCGUGCAGGAAGAAGGCCUUCGGGUUGUAAACUGCUUUUGUCAGGGAAGAAAUCCUUUGGGUUAAUACCUCGGAGGGAUGACGGUACCUGAAGAAUAAGCACCGGCUAACUACGUGCCAGCAGCCGCGGUAAUACGUAGGGUGCAAGCGUUAAUCGGAAUUACUGGGCGUAAAGCGUGCGCAGGCGGUUAUGCAAGACAGAUGUGAAAUCCCCGGGCUCAACCUGGGAACUGCAUUUGUGACUGCAUGACUAGAGUACGGCAGAGGGAGAUGGAAUUCCGCGUGUAGCAGUGAAAUGCGUAGAUAUGCGGAGGAACACCGAUGGCGAAGGCAAUCUCCUGGGCCUGUACUGACGCUCAUGCACGAAAGCGUGNGGAGCAAACAGGAUUAGAUACCCUGGUAGUCCACGCCCUAAACGAUGUCAACUGGUUGUUGGACGGCUUGCUGUUCAAUAACGAAGCUAACGCGUGAAGUUGACCGCCUGGGGAGUACGGCCGCAAGGUUG
rnacentral:rRNA from 1 species